rnacentral:rRNA from 1 species
UACGUAGGGUGCGAGCGUUGUCCGGAAUUACUGGGCGUAAAGAGCUCGUAGGUGGUUUGUCGCGUCGUUCGUGAAAACUCACAGCUCAACUGUGGGCGUGCGGGCGAUACGGGCAGACUGGAGUACUGCAGGGGAGACUGGAAUUCCUGGUGUAGCGGUGGAAUGCGCAGAUAUCAGGAGGAACACCGGUGGCGAAGGCAGGUCUCUGGGCAGUAACUGACGCUGAGGAGCGAAAGCGUGGGGAGCGAACAGG